UACCGGGGCUAAACAUAUUACCGAAGCUGUGGAUUGUCCUUUGGACAAUGGUAGGAGAGCGUUCUAAGGGCGUCGAAGCAUGAUCGCAAGGACAUGUGGAGCGCUUAGAAGUGAGAAUGCCGGUGUGAGUAGCGAAAGACGGGUGAGAAUCCCGUCCACCGAUUGACUAAGGUUUCCAGAGGAAGGCUCGUCCGCUCUGGGUUAGUCGGGUCCUAAGCUGAGGCCGACAGGCGUAGGCGAUGGAUAACAGGUUGAUAUUCCUGUACCACCUAGUAUCGUUUUAAUCGAUGGGGGGACGCAGUAGGAUAGGCGAAGCGUGCUGUUGGAGUGCACGUCCAAGCAGUAAGGCUGAGUGUUAGGCAAAUCCGGCACUCAUAAGGCUGAGCUGUGAUGGGGAGAGGAAAUUGUUUCCUCGAGUCGUUGAUUUCACACUGCCGAGAAAAGCCUCUAGAUAGAUAACAGGUGCCCGUACCGCAAACCGACACAGGU
rnacentral:rRNA from 1 species